rnacentral:lncRNA from 1 species
CUAUUUCUUGGGCCGCUCCCGCGGCAUAUGGAGGUUCCCAGGCUAGGGGUUGAAUCAGAGCUGUAGCCACCGGCCUACGCCAGAGCCACAGCAACGCAGGAUCCGAGCCGCGUCUGCAACCUACACCACAGCUCACGGCAACGCCGGAUCGUUAACCCACUGAGCUAGGGCAGGGACCGAACCCGCAACCUCAUGGUUCCUAGUCGGAUUCGUUAACCACUGCGCCACGACAGGAACUCCCUCAAAAUAUUUAAAUCUUUCUUAAAAUUCAUUUUUUAAAAUGUAUCAAGGUCCACAAAAUUCAUCACCUACAGUAUAAAGUUCUACAAGUUUCGACAAAUGCAAAAGGUGGGCAAUCCCCAGCACGUUCAAUAUAUAGAACGGUCACAAUACCUACUCCUUUAAAUUUCUCUGAACCUCUCUGUGGUCAAAUUCCUCCCAAUAUCCAGUUUCUGAAAAUAACUGCUCUGUCUUCUAUUUCUAUAGCUUUGCCACACAAGCGACUUUUUAAUAUAAGGGAAAAUGCACCUGUUUAUUUUUUAAGAUGUUUGAAGGAAAUGGCAUUAUAAAAUUUAAAAAGACACACACACCCAUUUGUUCAUAGCAGCACUAUAUACAACAGCCAAGACAGAACCUAAAUGUCCAUUGACAGAUGAAUGGAUUAAGAAGAUAUGGUACAAAUGUAUACUACUACCCAGCUAUGAAAAAGAAUGAAAUAAUGCCAUCUGCAGCAACAUGGAUGCAACUAAAGAUUCUUAUACUAUAUGAAGUCAGAAAAGAAAGACCAAUACCACAUGAUAUCACUUAUACACAGAAUCUAAAAUAUGGCACAAAUGAUCCUUUCUACACAAUAGAAGCAGACUCACAGAGAACAGACUUGUGGUCACUGGGGUAGGGAAUGGUAUGAGAGGGAAUUUGGGGUUAGUAGAUGAAAACUAUUGCAUUUAGAAUGGAUAAGCAAUGAGGUCCUACUCUAUAGGACAGGGGACUACAUCCAAUCACUUGUGAUAGAACAUGAUAGAAGAAAAGAAUGCCUCACAAAUGACUGGGCCAAUUUGCUGUACAGUAGAAAUUGGCACAGAAUUGUAAAUCAGCUAUACUUCAACAAAAAUAAUUAAAAUAAAAGUUAAAAAUAAAACAAAAUAAAAUAAAAUUAUCCUUAUGCACUGUAAGGCAGUUUCCUAAAGGUGAACAAGCUAUACAUAGCAUGGUUCCAUUUGUACUGAAAUUGUAGCUCCUUCUCCCUGUCAUACUUUCAGUCCCAAGGUUGGGAAAGGGAAUCUUAGUCUUAUUGGCAGAUUAAUUUCAUAUCCCUUUGAACUGACACUCUAAAUAUUUAUUCAACAUUUUUAGAAAUCCCAGUACCUGGUGGAGUGCAAAGACAGAAAAGGAGGAUUUUGAAAGACAGCACCCUUGCUUCUUGUAUAAUCCACUUAGCCAAACAAACACACAAUAAACCAAUAAUUCUCGGACAUACAAUCUUUGCUGUGAGCAGAAUGGACAAGAUCUUUUUACUGUUUUCCCCAGGCAGUUUAACCAAGAGUUUCUUUUAAUAUAUACUCCACUAGUCUCUUCUGGAAGAAUGCUGAUAAACAUAAUUUUCUUCUUUGCUUUACACUUUUGGGGAUUUUUUAUUGCUUAGUGUCUCAAACUAUUGCUAAUCUGACCUUCUGUCCUUUCUCUACCAUAUAUUAGCUCCACAACUCACCUAAGGAGCUCAGCUAGCAAUUAAGUUCCCCCUGACACUUUAGGUCACUCAUGCUCUCCCCUAACUCCCACCUUGGGGAGAGGGGUAGAAAGGGAGCCCCUGGCAAACCCUCCUACACUGUGGGUGGGAAUGUAAACUGGUGUAGCCAAUCUGGAAAACAGAAUGGGGAUUCCUCAGAAAAUUAAAUAUAGAACUACCACAUCCAGACAAAAGUGUAAGUCAAAUUAUAUAUGCACCACCACUGCAGCCCUAUUCACAAUAGCCAAGGCAUGGAAACAAUGUCCAUAGACAAACAAAUGGAUAAAGAAGUUGUGGUACAUAUCUACAAUGGAAGACAGCCAUAAAAAAGAAUGAAAUAAUGUCAUUUGUAGCAACAUAGAUGGACCUAGAGAUUAUCAUAUAAGGGAAGUAAGUCAGACAGAGAAAAACAAAUACCAUGGUAUCACUUAUAUGUGGCAUCUAAAAUAUGACACAAAUCAAUUAUCUAUAAAACAGAAACAGACUCAUAGUCAUAGAGAACAGAUUUAUGGUUGCCAAAGUAGAGUGGUAGCAGAGGGAUGGAUUGGGAGUUUGGGGUUAGUGGAUGCAAACUAUUAUACCCAGGAUAGAUAAACAACAUGGUUCUAUUAUAUGUCACAGAGAACUAUAUUCAAUAUCCUGUGAUAAACCAUAAUGGAAAAUAAUAUGAAAAAAUGUAUACAUGUAUAACUGAAUCACUUUGCUGUACAGCAGAAAUUAACACAAUGUUGAAAUCAGCUAUAUUUCAAUGAAAUCAUUUUUUUAAACAGUGCUGCUCUGUUUCUUAGAACCAACACUGAAACUUGGAUUAAGUUUUCAUAUAGAAACACAGUUUAAACCAUAUUUAGAUUUUUCUACUCGAAUGUUACAACACAUUCAGGUAUUUUUAUUGUUGUUUCUUCCUUCUUUCUUCCAUCUAUUUAUUUAUUUAGUGCCUGCUAUGUUGAGGCAUUGUGCUCAUCACUGGAUACAUACUUUGCACUCAGAGAGCCCAAAUUAAGUGAAGUUAAAUCAGCUUCUAUAAGCUGGUCUAACAUUUUAUCAUUGUUAAAUCAUUUCUUAAGGAAAAUAUGUGAUUCAAGUUCCAAACAGUCAGUAUAUUUAUAAAUAAACUUCAGUAAUCCCAAGACCAUUUAUCAACUUGAAGUUGCUUGCAUUUUAGAAAUGAACCACUAGCUCAUUACUUGUGGCUGCCUGAUGGGAGGGGGAGGGAGUGGGAGGGAUCGGGAGCUUGGGCUUAUCAGACACAACCUAGAAUAGAUUUAUAAGGAGAUCCUGCUGAAUAGCAUUGAGAACUAUGUCUAGAUACUCAUGUUGCAACAGAAGAAAGGGUGGGGGAAAAAACUGUAACUGCAAUGUAUACAUCUAAGGAUGACCUGACCCCCUUGCUAUACAGUGGGAAAAUAAUAAAAAAAAAAAAAAAAAAAAAAAAAGAAAUUCUCUUUUCCAGAGUUUCCAUCAUGGCUCAGUGGUAAUGAACCCGACUAAUAUCCAUGAGGUUGUGGGUUCAAUCCCUGGCCUUGCUCAGUGGGUUAAGGAUCCAGCAUUGCAUUGAGCUGUGAUGUAGGUCACAGAUGUGGCUGGGAUCAGGCAUUGCUGUGGUGUAGGCUGGCAGCUACAGCUCGGAUUCAGCACCUAGCCUGGGAACCUCCAUAUGUUGCAGGUGCAGC